UUUGCCUACGGGAGGCAGCAGUGAGGAAUAUUGGUCAAUGGGAGGAAUCCUGAACCAGCCAUGCCGCGUGCAGGACGACGGCUCUACGAGUUGUAAACUGCUUUUGUACCGGGGUAAAAUGCCUUACGAGUAGGGUUUUGAAAGUACGGUACGAAUAAGGAUCGGCUAACUCCGUGCCAGCAGCCGCGGUAAUACGGAGGAUGCGAGCGUUAUCCGGAUUUAUUGGGUUUAAAGGGUGCGUAGGCGGAAUGCCAAGUCAGCGGUAAAAUCGCGGGGCUCAACCUCGCUCCGCCGUUGAAACUGGG
rnacentral:rRNA from 1 species